CCUACGGGAGGCAGCAGUGGGGAAUAUUGCUCAAUGGGGGAAACCCUGAUGCAGCGACGCCGCGUGGAGGAUGGAGGUUUUCGGAUUGUAAAGCCCUUUUGUUAGGGAAGAAAAUGACGGUAUCUGACCAAUAAGCACCGGCUAACUCCGUGCCAGCAGCCGCGGUAAUACGGAGGGUGCAAGCGUUAUCCGGAUUUACUGGGCGUAAAGAGCGCGUAGGCGGGAUAGCAAGUCAGAUGUGAAAGCCUAUGGCUUAACCAUAGAACUGCAUUUGAAACUGGGAUUCUAGAGUAUGGGAGAGGUAGGUGGAAGUCUUGGUGUAGGGGUAAAAUCGGUAGAGAUCAAGAGGAAGACGCAUGGCGAAGGCGACCUGCUAGAACGUAACUGACGCUGAUGCGCGAAAGCGUGGGGAUCAAACAGGAUUAGAUACCCUGGUAGUC
rnacentral:rRNA from 1 species